UCUGGUCUUGGGACACUGUCAGGUGGGCAGUUUGACUGGGGCGGUCGCCUCCCAAAAGGUAACGGAGGCGCUCAAAGGUUCUCUCAGUACGGUCGGAAAUCGUACGUAGAGUGUAAAGGCAAAAGAGAGCUUGAUUGCAAGACAUACAGGUCGAGCAAGGAUGAAAAUCGGACUUAGUGAUCCGGUGGUUCUGCGUGGAAGGGCCAUCGCUCAACGGAUAAAAGCUACCCUGGGGAUAACAGGCUUAUCUCCCCCAAGAGUCCACAUCGACGGGGAGGUUUGGCACCUCGAUGUCGGCUCAUCACAUCCUGGGGCUGUAGUAGGUCCCAAGGGUUGUGCUGUUCGCCCAUUAAAGUGGUACGCGAGCUGGGUUCAGAACGUCGUGAGACAGUUCGGUCCCUAUCCGUCGCAGGCGUAGGAAAUUUGAGAAGCCCUGUCCUUAGUACGAGAGGACCGGGAUGGACGUACCUCUGGUGUACCAGUUGUUCUGCCAAGGGCAUGGCUGGGUAGCUAUGUACGGAAUGGAUAAGCGCUGAAAGCAUCUAAGCGCGAAGCCAACUUCAAGAUAAGAUUUCCCACCGCAAGGGUAAGACCCCAGAAAGACUAUCUGGUUGAUAGGUCGAAGGUGUAAGUGCAGCAA
rnacentral:rRNA from 1 species